rnacentral:rRNA from 1 species
UAACCUGCCCAAGAGAUCGGGAUAACACCUGGAAACAGAUGCUAAUACCGGAUAACAACAGAUGAUGCCUAUCAACUGUUUAAAAGAUGGUUCUGCUAUCACUCUUGGAUGGACCUGCGGUGCAUUGGCUAGUUGGUAGGGUAACGGCCUACCAAGGCGAUGAUGCAUAGCCGAGUUGAGAGACUGAUCGGCCACAUUGGGACUGAGACACGGCCCAAACUCCUACGGGAGGCAGCAGGC